CCUACGGGUGGCUGCAGUGAGGAAUAUUGGUCAAUGGGCGCGAGCCUGAACCAGCCAAGUAGCGUGAAGGAUGACUGCCCUACGGGUUGUAAACUUCUUUUAUAAAGGAAUAAAGUGAGGCACGUGUGACUUUUUGUAUGUACUUUAUGAAUAAGGAUCGGCUAACGCCGGGAAAGCAGCCGCGGUAAUACGGAGGAUCCGAGCGCUAUCCGGAUUUAGUGGGUUUAAAGGGAGCGUAGAUGGGUUGUUAAGUAAGUUGUGAAAGUUUGCGGCUCAACCGUAAAAUUGCAAUUGAUACUGGCAGCCUUGAGUACAGUUGAGGUAGGCGGAAUUCGUGGUGUAGCGGUGAAAUGCUUAGAUAUCACGAAGAACUCCGAUUGCGAAGGCAGCCUACUAAACUGCCACUGACAUUGAUGCUCGAAAGUGUGGGUAUCAAACAGGAUUAGAUACCCUUGUAGUC
rnacentral:rRNA from 1 species